AUAACAUAACAGACACUCGCGGAUCUUUGAUCAUUGUCCUCUGUUUAUCUCUCUGUUCUUUGUUUUCUCUCUCUUCCCGCCCUAAAAUUUCUGAGAUUAUUACGUUUGUCUAAUAAAUUUUCAAUCUUUGCAAGAAUGAGCGUCACCCAGUUCGCUAUGGUGGAGGAAUUGGCCUUUCUAGUUAAGGACAAUCUUCCUUGCAAGCAUCUUGUGCUCUCAAUGGAAGAGGCUUUCGUUAAUUUCCUUCAGGAUGAUACAAGCUCAGAUGGGAUCCUAGAGUUGGAACCCAUGAAUUCAUAUAAUCGGCUUCUCCUGCAUCGUCUUGCAGAUAUAUUUGGAUUUGCUCAUGAAUCAGUCGGUGAAGGAGAUGAUCGGCAUUUGGUUUUGGAACGAUGCCCAGAGACAUCAAUACCUUCCAUUCUUGUUAGUGAUAUAUUAUGGCAGUGUGAUGAGCCUCAGUCUCUCACAACAUCACGUCAUUUAUUAGUGAGAGAAGAAGCUCCAGCAGUAGCGAAGACGGAGUUGCCUUCUUUUGAGCUUAGUCUUGAGGCGAGAGAAGCAGCUUACUUGGCUGCUCGUGAGCGGAUUUUUUCAAUGGAUGUUGAAGAGGUACGAGAACCUGUGAAGGAGAAGCCACGAACCGUUCCUGUUGUGGCUCGUCGAAUGAUUGCACAUGCUUUGGGCCAAAAAAUAAACUCAUCCAGUCAAAAUGUUAAUGCCAGGGAUUUUAAAGACCAUGAAGGGCAACCUAAUGAACUGAACAUUCAUGAUAAGGAUGAAGUUGAUAAUAAUUUGAGAACCGAAACUUAUCAAGAUACUGUUUUUGUCCCAGGCAAUGCAUUCAGUAAAGCAAAUAGCAAUGCACAUAAACAUAAUGCUUCAGUAGUUGGUAAGAGGAAUGUUUCAGACAAACCAGCUCAAAAGGGGCCUUCUGAUGUUAGGAUACCUGGAAGAAGUCGAAAUAGAGUUAACAAAGAGUACUCAAAAGAAGAACAUCUAGGAGCCGCAAAGAGAAUGUUUGCUCAUGCUUUAGGUUUGCGCUCAGCUAAGGAUGGUGUUCUUUUGAAAAGCAGUGAAACGAAGGCAAUUGACAAUAAGUAAGGCUGAGUGACAUUUCAAGAUAACACAUAGAUCAUUUAUUUCUUCUGUUGAACUUGGUACAGUAGAUAAAGAGCUCUUUGAUUUUUUUCUUCCAAAUUAUACCGGUUAAGGAAAGAGCUCCAUGAAGAUACUACUGUCACAAAUGAGAAAAUGCAAUGAAGAAAACCGUUAACCUGAGGUGGCAUGGUAGCUGCUUGCUUGAGUCUUCUGGAAUUGCAUCUGGUGAGAUUGCUGUCUUCUCAUUGCAUAAGUUCUUUUAAUGAGAAUUGAUGAAGUUUUGUAUACUAGUUUGCAUUUGACUAGAGUUGCAAGCUAUCUGUUUUCCAUGGACUAGAAGGCGCAUCUAAGCUGCACAGGAGUCAUGUGCCAGUCAAAAAGAUUCAUUCUCUCCCAUGUACCACAGGAGAAAAGAUUAUCUGAGGGAACUCAACGUUGUCAUACGAUUUAAUUCAUCUACAUGAAUUUAAAUCAUUUGAGAUUCAUUUAUAGACUUCCGGCAUCCAACUUCCGCUCAACAGUAACGAAUAAUUUGAGUUUAUGAUACAAAAAUUACAACAGAAAGACCUGGGUACCAUGGGUCCAAAGAGCAUCUCCUGCGGCGUUAAGACUCCAUAAGAAAGCAACAUACUGCAACCAUGUCACAGCCAAAAUGAAAUUAAGAGAGCUGUUCCUUGGAUCUGUUGUCCCUUUUUCCCGGCGGCAGUGGUCUUGAGUAGAUUUAGUUGAGCCAGAAGAGACAAAAGCUGAAGAUGUAGGAUCACAGCUACAUCACCCUUUUACUUCGAUGGGAAAAACUUCUGAAGAAAGCCCCAUAAACUCUUGGGCGAUGAGGAGAAAAUCUUUCAAUUGGAUAAUCUCAGCUUGUCAUGUUUGCCUUUCUGUUCUUGGAUUUGAGGACUUAGAAGCCAAAGCACGAAGCAAAGAUUGAGUGGCUACAAACUUCUCUCUGAGCAUGACAUUGUAGUCAUACAGACGUUGAAAAUUCUUCUCUAUAUCGGACAACUCAAUCUGAGAACCAGACUUGAAUUCUGCAUUGAAUAAGAAGCAAGAUUACAAAGAGCAACUCUAACAUAAAUACAUCAGUUAAGUCCCUAUCAACGGUUUUGGAGGAACACACCACUAAGGCAUAUGGUUUCAGUUCAUCAUAUUGAAAGAUUUGUGUUUAAUAGGCAGUUCUAAAUUGGAGCUUCAGAGCAUCUCCAAGCAAAUUACUUUACAAUGGAGUCCAACGCUGACAGUUUAACAUUUGUAUUUCUAGCUUUUACCAUUCAGCUGGCUGUUUUCAGUUACAAGAAGUCAUCUAUAUGUAUCAGUUAUCAUGUAACCACCCAACAAAAUAACUAUGAAAGUUCAUAGCCAGUUGACUUUAGAAAGAGAAACUAUUGGAGUUGUUAUGAGUGA